AGGAAAAACAUUUUAACAGUUCCUCAAAAAAUUAAAUAUGAAGUCACCAUAUAAACCCAGCAUUUCCAACUCUAAGAAUCCCAAAAGAAAAUGAAAACGCAUAUCCACAUAAAAUCUUGUAUACAAAUGUUCCUAGCAACAUAAUUCAUAAUAGCUGAAAAUUUCUUUCAGAGGAGAAGAAGUUGUUCUAAAAUUAGAUUGUGGUGAUGGUUGCACAACGCUGUGAAUAUACCCAAAACCAGUGAAUGGUAUGCUUUGAGUGGGUGAGUUGUGUAGUAUGUAAAUCAUAUCUUAAUAGCACUCUUUUUUGAAAUGCAGAGCCCAGGACAAGGCCUAUGUUCAAGAUGCAGCUCUAACCACUGGAGGAUGAAAAGAUGCGUUAGAAGCUUUCUGUGCUCUGGCUUCACUACAUGAAGUGAAAGCAUUUGGUGUGCCUGGGGAUCAUCAAGAAAGCAGGAGUUGUAGCAGUAGAGUGGAUUUUAUGGGAAGAACAGAGUGAUGCAUGAAAGAUGAAUUCAGAGAGGUUGCUGGGAGUUGGGUGGUGGAAGAACAUAGAAGCCAUAUUAAAGAAUUUGGAUUAUUAUAUCCUGUGGGCAGGAGAGAGCCCCUAGAAAGUUGUCUUAAUUGAAAGGAUGUGAACAAAACUGGGUUUUAGGAAGAAAACUCUGGUGGCGUUUCAGACACUAUUCAAGAUGGAGAGACUAGAAAUGAGAUAAAUACUCAGCAGAUGGCAGAGUUGUGGUGAGACUUGUGGAGGAGGAGUCCCUGUUGUAGCUCAGUGGUAACGAACCUGACUAGUAUCCAUGAGGACUCGGGUUCAAUCCCUGGCCUCGCUCAGUGGGUUAAGGAUCUGGCAUUGCCCUGAGCUGUGGUGUAGGUCGAAGGCAUGGGUCGGAUCCUGCGGUACUGUGGCUGUGGCAUCGGCUGGCAGCUGUAGCUCCAAUUCAACCCCUAGCCUGGGAACUUUCAUGUGCUACAGGUGCAGCCCUAAAAAGCAAAAAAAAAAGCAAAACCUGUGGAGGAGCUAAAGAGGGUGGUAGUUAUGGGAAGAACAGGACACGUUUAAGGGCAUUAGGAUAAGGCUGAACUGCUAAGACACAGUGACCGCUCAGAUUGGGGACCUCAGGAACAGGAGGACAACAAGAUGCCCCUGGAGUUCCUGAGAAGAUGGCUGAGGGGAAAGAGCAGGGCUGUAGGUCAAGAUAAAUAUAGGUUCUUUUGAGGGAGGAGUUGGAAGUAGGGAUGUUGUCUGGGGCGGAGAAUUGUCUUGGUUAGUUGGCUCCUUUUAGCAGCAAGACUGGCCUGGUGACCACAGAGAUACACGGCUAUUCAGUUAGCACACGCUGGGUUUCUUCACCCAGACUCUUCUUGCCAUGGACUCACCUACUCUUCAGCUUCCUGACGAGCUCUGUCCCAUGUCCACAUUCUGGUAGCUCUCUCACUUGACUUUGACUUUGCUAUCUUUUGCCCAGAUAUGGUGUCAACCUCCCUUCACCACAUUGUCCCACUCCUUCCCUGCCUAGGGUCUGACUUUUCACCCAGAGCCUCUCUGUGCUGACUUUCUCCCCAGUUCCCAAGAUAACCCAAAUGGCUUGGAACUCACCGCACCCCUCUUCCUCCUUCCCUCCCUCCAUCCCUGCCCCCUUUCUUCCCUCCUCCCUUCCUUCCUUCCAUCCUUUCUUCUUCCCUUCCUUUGACACAUGUUCAGACCACACUGGAAAAGGUGUUCACACAGCUGGAUGUGAUAGAGAACAGCCUUGGAGUAAGCAUCCCCUACACAUUUUAGGAACCCUCCUUCCCAUCCCUGGAGGCACCCCAACUCUUGUCUGCCUGCUUACCUGAGACCUGGUAACUUCUCCUCACUGCAGGCUACAGGAGAUACCCACAAAGGAGGCUUCUCCCUCUGCUGGGCCCCCCAUCCAUGAUAGUCCUCUGUUUUCACAGCCAGAGGGACAGUCCCAAAUAGAAUCCCAACCCACACCCCCAUCAAAGGCAGGUGUUUCAGCUGCCAGGUUCUUCAGCCUCAAAACAGCUCCCCACAGACCAGUCAAGGCAGGGCAGACACUAGGUGAGGAUGUCAUGGAGACAAACCAGAGGAAUUAGGGGUAGGGUGGAGAAGAGGAAGCUGGAGGGGGCCUUGUUUCGUUAAACCACAGGCAGGACUGCCUGGUAGACAAUGGGAAGUACAAAUGCAGGGUUUAACGUGAGGAGAGAGAUGGAGACACCGAUAAGUAAUAUCAGUGUCUGCUUCACUUUUCAGCAGUGUCUAUAGAGAUACGAUAAUAGGAAUAAGACAACAAAGAUCUGGGAGGACCCACCCCAAAGAUCAUCUGGAGCACAGCUAAAAUGACUUAAGUCAUUUUUCCAAGAUGGCAAAUUCACUGCCACCUUGACUUCAUAAAGUAGAGCUGCCUCUUUAUUAUUAUGAAAUUCAGAUGCUAUGACUGUUUGUCAGGACAGCCACCUUGGGCAACAGGAAGGUGAAUGAGAUGGAAGGUGCAGAAACAAUGGAUGGUUUCUUGCAAGUUUCACUGAGACCUGAUCUGGAAAGGUCCAUAAACACCUACCAAAGAAAUUAACAAGCACAGUAUCCACUUUUUCUCUCAGUGUCUAUAUCAAAGAGAUCCUAGAUUGUAUGUUAAUUUAUCAUCUGUCUUUUGUACCAGGGCAUCACCAGGCAGUUGCACUGAUCUGAAAUAAAUGAUUAGGGGUAAAGUAGAUAUGAAACAAAGACUCCGUAAUGUGCCCACCAAAAAAAAUUAAGGUCCUAUUUCAUUUUAUAGUGUAGAUUCUGGAAAGAUUAUGAAGCACCAGAUUCUUUGAUGUUCUUGGAUAUAUUUCAGUGUUGUUAUGACAUUAUUAUCUCUUUUAUUCCUACACUAUUUCUGUUCUGCUGUAGUUACUGUCAUUGUGGAAGUCUCUCAUUACUUUUUUUUUUUUCUUUUAAAAAAUUCUUUUGAAUUUGACUCUGGUUGAAUUGUGUCUGUGUGUGUUGAUUUUACUAGAGUCGUUUUCUAGUUAGUUUGAAUUGUCUUUUUGAAGUUUUCUUCUCUGAUCCUUAAGAAAAAUGCUUUUUUCUUUAGGAUUUUAAAAUGUAUUUAAAUAUUAUGUUUUUAAUUUCUAUCUGUAUCAUAUUUUGGUCAGAAAAUAUAGCCUUUACAAAUUUAUCCUUUGGGGAAUUGAUUGAGAUUUUUCUGGUAUGUGCCUAGUUUUCAAUAAAUACCUUAUUAGCUAAACAUAAUUUUUACUCAAAUCCUCUAUAUCUUUAUUUUUUUCCAUUAGUCAAAUACAGAGAAGACGUUUGUUCCUGUUUUUAAGGUCAUACUUUGUAAGCCAGAUCUAGAGUAUUAUUUUCUGUGAAAUAUUGAUUUAGUCUUCAAAAUGAUUUUUAUAAAUAAAAUAAUAUAUUUUUGGCUGGAAAUUUUAAUGAUGACUCAGUUCUAAACCAAGACGAAUAAUGCCAAAUUCUUAAUUCAAGUUGUCUUCAGAGAAAUAAAGAAAAUAAUUAUCUAAUGUCCAGAAAAUGCUCCCUGGAAAGUUGCUAGCUAGCAUAGUAACAAAAGAUAAACAAAUAAAAUACCCUUUUAAAAAAGCCUAUCAGAAACAACAUACACAAGAAUCAUUUUAAUUUUUUUUUUUCUCUUUUUUAAGGCUGCACUCGUGGCAUAUGGAAGUUCCCAGGCUAGGAGUCAAAUCAGAGCUGCAGCUGCAGCCUACGCAAUAGCCAUGGCAACACCAAAUCCUUAACCCACUGUGUGAGGCCAGGGAAGGACCCCACAUCCUCACAGAGACAGUGUCGGGUCCUUAACCCACUGAGCCAAAAUGGGAACUCCCAUUUUAGUUUUAAUUUAAGCUAAAUUACAGAAUUUUUCAACUAAAUUCUUUUCACUAAGUCUAAGUCCUUUUUUACUAAGAAUUUUUAGAAUAAAAGCAACAAAGAUAAGGAGCUGUUGCAAUGCCCUUUCCACCUCAAAUUGUCCUCCUCAAAUUGAUCCCAGCAGUUUUUAGGAGAAAAAAGUCAUAAUCAGGUGGAGUGGGAAAGUGUGCCUCUUCUUCCUUUUUGUAAGCAACCUUAAAAAUGUAAUUUAAUGAAAAGGCAGCCUGUGGAAUGGGAGAAAAUAUUUGCAAACCAUAUAUUGGAUAAGGGGUUAAUAUCCAAAAUAUAGGAAGAACUCAUUCAACUCAAUAACGACAACAACAGAAAACAAGCAAUCAUAUUUUAAAAAUGGGCAGAGGAUGUGAAUAGACACUUUUCCAAAGAAGACAUACUAAUGGCUAUCUUAUACAGGAAAAGAUGCUCAACAUUACCAAUCAUCAAGAAAACGAAAAUCAGGAGUUCCCGUUGUGGAACAGUGGUUAACGAAUCCGACUAGGAACCAUGAGGUUUCGGGUUCGAUCCCUGGCCUUGCUCACUGGGUUAAGGAUCCGGUGUUGCCGUGAUCUUUGGUAUAGGUUGCAGAUUCAGCUGGGAUCCCACGUUGCUAUGGCUGUGGUGUAGGCCAGCAGCUACAGCUCUGACUAGACCCCUAGCCUGGGAACCUCCAUAUGCCUUGGAUGUGGCCCUA
ensembl:lncRNA